rnacentral:rRNA from 2 species
ACGGGGCGCAGCAGGCGCGAAAACUUGACAAUGCGAGAAAUCGUGAUCAGGGAACUCCAAUUGUCCCCGUUUUUACGGGGUUCUGAAUUGACUCUAAACAGGUCGAGUAAUAGGGGCGGGAAAUAUCGGUGCCAGCAGCCGCGGUAAUA